AAAUAGAAUAUAUCUCAAAAUUUAUACUAUUAUUUAAAUUACAAUUGUGUCUACAGCCCUAGUCAUGGACCAGGACCCGGCUGUGUACAAAAACAGAACAAAAAGACAGUCCCUGCCCCAAAGGGUUUACAAUUUAACAAUGAGACAUCAAUGAGUUUUAAAGGUUAUCAGAUCUCCUACUCUCUUCAUUACUUCCAUUGAAAUGAAAACAGAUUACAUUUGAUUUUAGUAAUUCAGCACCCAGGAUCCAUCUUUUCCAUAGUCCGAAGGCUGCUUUGCAGGUUCUCCUAUGGGAAGAGGCCUUCCAUCCAGGCUGCCAGCCUCUGCUGUGUCCCAGAAGCUCCCCAGCAGGAUGAGGAAAGAACUGGCAGCAUAGAGCAGACUGCCUAAUGCUGCCCUGCUCUAAAUGCCUCAAACCUGACAUGGAGGAAGCACCUAUGUGAGCAAGAGAGUUAUUCAAGGCCACAGACACCACCAGCACCUGUAUACUAAACCCAAUAACCAAAAUGGGACCAAAGUAUUACAGACCGCAGGACACUAGACUACAGUACAGAC